GGGUAUAUAGCUCAGUGGUAGAGCACAUGCUUAGCAUGCUUGAGGUCCUGGGUUCAAUCCCCAGUACCUCCU
rnacentral:tRNA from 1 species